AUUGAACGCUGGCGGUAUGCUUAACAUAUGCAAGUCGAACGGCAGCACGGUAUGUAGCAAUACAUAUGGGUGGCAAGUGGCGGACGGGUGAGUAACGCGUAGGAAUCUGCCCUCAAGCGGGGGACAACCCGAGGAAACUCGGGCUAAUACCGCAUAAACUCGGAAGAGAAAGGCUGGGGUAACCUGGCACUUGAGGAGGAGCCUGCGUCUGAUUAGCUAGUUGGUAGGGUAAAGGCCUACCAAGGCGAUGAUCAGUAGCUGGUCUGAGAGGAUGACCAGCCACACUGGAACUGAGACAUGGUCCAGACUCCUACGGGAGGCAGCAGUGGGGAAUAUUGGACAAUGGGGGAAACCCUGAUCCAGCAAUACCGCGUGUGUGAAGAAGGCCUUCGGGUUGUAAAGCACUUUAGUUGGGGAGGAAGGUUAGCAGUUUAAGAGAUGGCUAAUUUGACUGUACCCAAAGAAUAAGCACCGGCUAACUCUGUGCCAGCCGCCGCCGUAA
rnacentral:rRNA from 1 species